rnacentral:rRNA from 1 species
UACGGAGGGGGCUAGCGUUGUUCGGAAUUACUGGGCGUAAAGAGUGUGUAGGUGGUGAUCUAAGUCUGUCGUGAAAUCUCCCGGCUUAACUGGGAGGGUGCGGCGGAAACUGGAUCGCUAGAGUAUGGGAGAGGUAAGCGGAAUUCCUGGUGUAGCGGUGAAAUGCGUAGAUAUCAGGAGGAACACCUGUGGUGUAGACAGCUUACUGGACCAUUACUGACACUGAGACACGAAAGCGUGGGUAGCAAACAGG